GUUACAGUAGACCGAAAAAUUAGAGACUCCGAGAAGUUAUCAAAUGCGCCGUCGUUGCGAUGGUAGUCGGAGAUUAUCUCUUCGGAUAGGGCUGCCGGCGGGGGGAGAAGAGGCCGACGGGCGGCGGUUUGACGCGGCGGAGCUCGGAGGCCUUUUCGGAGAGGCCCUUUGCGCCUCUUCGAGUACGCCCCGAUUCCCUCGGCCGAAGAGAUAAGCUCAGACUACUUCCACGGCCGCGGCGGCGGCGGCGGCGGUGGCGACGUGGUGCCGCCGAUGGGUGUGACUGGAUUGAGGGUGAGUGGGAUUCUUGGGCGACGGAGGAGGAGGACGUGGAGUCCCUGAUCGGCGAAGUAUGACCCCGUUCGUGAUUUCGUACGCAAAGAAAUUGGAAAGAUUAAGAAUUCGUCUGCGAUGAUCGGUGCUGGUGGCGAUUCCGGAGCUGGGUUCGGUUGUAAUUCUGAAAUUUUGGCCGAUAAAGAGAUGGGUUCGGUUUUUGAGAUCUUUAAAGCUCGUUGCCCGGCUCUCUUCGAGGACUGCAUUGGAGAUGGCGACGGUUUCUUGACUUUGCCGGAGAACUCGGCCGUCAGCGGUGGAAGCUCGGGAGAGGAGUCGAUGCUCCGGGAUCUUGAGGACUAUGGAUAUAAUCCUGACCACUUUCUUACACUUGAAGAUUUGGGUGUUCCUCUAUGUGAUGUAAAUGGGGAAUGCAUGUGAUUUUUCUUGUUAAACUGCAUAGUACAGAAUACAUGGGGUGCGUCGUGUUCAAAUUCAUCUCUUUUCAGAUGAGAAAAGCAUCAUUUAGUCAGUUGCUUGGUGGGUGAAGUAGGGAAUAGGAUGGAGAUUCAUGAUUUGUUGCUAGCUUGUGAAAGAGACGAACUUUGAUUUAGACUGUUAUUAUGGCGAUGAAUUGACUGUCUCGGAUGAUGAAUGGCAAUGCCAAUGAAUGCAGAGCUUUCCACUGUCUAUGGAGUAUUAUUGCUUAUGAGAUUGGAUAGUUUAUGGGACUAAUCAUCUGUUCAUUGAUGACUUCUUGUGGGAGAAACUUAGAAAAUGGUUUUGGAGACAGUGGUUCUAAAGGGAGACAAGGAGCUUGUCAGUACUCUUAGGGGCUUCAAUGUGUACGUCAACAUGGUCCUCGAGGAUGUUACUGAGUAUGAAUUCACUGCUGAAGGACAAAGGAUAACAAAACUCGAUCAGAUUUUGCUUGAUGGAAACAACAUAGUUAGUCCCUGGUGGCUCCCCUGAUCCGGAAUGAGUUGGAUUCAUCCUCUAACCCCAUUGGUUGAUUAUGUAGUUACUUUUAGUUGUUGGAAGUCCCAUCAGCAACAUCAUUCGAUUUUAUAACCCUCUUUUUAUGGGUUUAUGAAUCUGCAACCUUGGUCAAUUGAGCUCUUAUUUGAUUGAGCUCAUGCGUGAAUGUCUGAUGCAAAUAGCUCAACAGAUGGUGCAUGAUCACAUCAUCCUAUUAUCCAAUAUCUAUGUUUUACUCAACUAGAGGGUGUGACAGUUGUUGUCAUGCCUGGUGCAAAUUGUUCCUAGGUUUCAUCUUCCAGUGCAUUGUUAUUGAAGAACCUGUCUUGGCUUGUUUUAGUAUUCUACAGUUUUUGGCCA